CGCACCAGAAGAUUUGGCCGGCCAGCCAGCCUCCCACCCCCUCCUCCCCUCUCCUUCUUCAAUCCCAAUCUCUGACCGCCCUCGCCGUCGCCAUCCCCUCUCCGCCCCCUCCACGCGCGCGCGCCGCGGCACCGCCCCCCGCCCCCGCCGCACGCGCGCGCGGCCGCGCCCGACCCCCGCCCGCAGCCGGAUUCCGCCGCCGCCGGACGCCGCCGGACGCGCGCGGCGCCGCAACAG
rnacentral:rRNA from 1 species